rnacentral:lncRNA from 1 species
UUUCAUGGAUUGUUGCCUUGAAUAUUGUUUGGUGAAGAAAGGCCAACAAUUUAUCAGGAUGCAUCGCUCUGGAGAUUGUAUCCCAGAAGGGGAAGAGGGCAAUGUGAACUCAGAAGGUUGGCGUCCUGUUUUUUCUUUCAACCUUACUCCUCGUGACUUGAGUUUUUUCAAGCGCUCCAUGAAACCAAUAUAUGUUGAUAAGGAGACAUCUCCAUAUUUCGGCGAAUUACAUGCCAUUUGCUACACCAAUAGUCAUGAGAUGAUAGCCAUUAAAAAUGAAGAACUGAUACAGAGCAAAGCAGUAGAAGGAAGUCCAGAGAACUCUUUUUGCAACUUGAGAAAAGUAAAAUCUCGAGUAAAGCUAAGACAAGAUGAAUUGUUUGAAAUACUGUAUGAAAACUUUUCUAUGAUCCCAAAGACAGAGGUUGAUAUUGCACUUCAGAGGUUUUUCAAUAUAAAGUGAGAGUUCUACCCAGUGGGAGAGAGUGUUCAACGUCUCCCUCAAAAAGACCUUGUUCUCAGUGGCUUCCAUGUACCAGCUGGUACAUACCUUGAUCUAAAUCCAUACCUGUGGUUGCUGAGUGACAUGUACUUCAGUGAUCCUCUGGUUUUGCGUCCUGAGAGAUGGCUUAGGGAUUCUGCAGGAACCCUGGCAGUUGAUCCCUACAUUCUAAACCCAUUUAGCAUUGGAACUCGAAUGUGCGCUGGGCGGAGAUUUGCAGAACAGGACCUGUUUGUGGGGCUGUGCAGGCUGCUCCUCAAAUACCAACUAGAAGCUACAGACAACUCCCCUCCAAGGCAAGAAUGGAGUGUCUUGCUGAAGCCAAAAAUUCCACUCCCAAUACGAUUUAUUGCUCGGGAGUGACUCCAAUUUUUCUAGAUAUUUUGUUCUAAAUUUUUAUAUUCAUGUUAUUUUUUUAAAAAUAGAUUUUGGAGGUAGAAAUAUAAAAUUGUAUAGGAAAAUUGCAGUUUGAGGUUGUGAUCAUCCAACUUUCCAAAAUGUUCUAAAUUGAACAACAGAUCUGCAAUUUGAGUAUUUAAAUCAUGCUAUUUUUUGCAAAGUAGUUCAAAUUUAAUGUUCAGCAAAAGUGCCUUCCAAUUUUACAAACACCAGCUUAAGCAAAAGGCAGCUUUCUGUGGACAACAUACAUAUCAAUAGUGGCAGCCAAAUACAAAUGUUCACAAAUGUUGUUAAUGGAGAGACUGCAGUUAAACCACAGAUAUAUUUUGACAAGUGAAUUCCUUGUUAAGCUGAGACUGAAGGAAAUGGAAUAUUUAAUUUUAGAUGAUGGAGAGCUAUUACUUAUAGGCUUUUGCUAUAAAACUUACAGGUGUGCUUUAAUACAUUACUGAUUUAACUUUGUCUCCUUCCCAAGAUCUUGUCAGGGAUGAGGAGUUAUUUUGAAUCUUUGCAGGAAAGAUACUUUAGUUUUUAAAUUUCAGGACGGCUCAAAUGUUGGUAAUAUAUAAUGUAUCUGUGUUUAAGUGCAAUAAGAUGUACAGGUGUAUUAAGAUGUACAGGUGUAUUAAGAUUUAAUUAAACUAAAUAUUUCAUGUGAUAUGAUAAAAUUGUUUUACUGGUGUAAGAGAAUGUAUUUCUUAUGUAUGGCUUUGAGUAUGUUCUUGAAGGUGUAUUACUAUAAAGAGAAACAAUCUUUCUAAGUUGGCUGAAUACUCUGAACUUUAUUCUACUUUUGUAAAGAAAUUGGGAUUGGAGAUGUAUGGCUAGCAAUGUCUCAAAUCACCAGGAAAAUGCAUAACCUCACAAAUGGUCAGGAAAGAUGUUUUAGCUUUAAACUUUUCAGUUUUUUGACAAGGGAUGAUUUGAUUGAAAAGAUGUUAAAGAAGUCACAUGUGACCAAAUGAAUGUUUUAAAUGUUUUAUUUUUGAUGGAGAAUGGUUUAAAUCAGCAGUGUAAUCAUUUGCUUUUGUAUCUUGUAAGGAUAAAAAAGCAACUUGAACAUGCCAAAGGAGCUGUAGAGAUAUGGCCAUCACUUAAGUGGUAUAGCUCAGUGGUAGAGAGCAGACAUUGCUUAUUUUUAAGCUUUUUAAAGGCCCUUGGUUUGUGCCUGACUGUGCUUGAGUGAGAACUGGCAUUAGUUGGAUUUAAGGUGAGGACAUAUCCUUUGUUAUAGGACCAACUUUUUUUUUUGCCUUUGGUAUACUAUCAUAUUCUUUACUUAUUAUAUUAUGUUUCUAUGUCAAUAGUGCUUUGACCUGUUUACAUACCAAAACUGAAGUACAAAUAAAAACUGAAGUUUCACAAACUCGAAAAUGCACACUUAAUAAAGUUAGGGCAUACAUCCAGGCUUAUUUUAUAGGUAGUUGUCUCAAAAAUAUGGGGCUAUUUGCACAAUAUUUUCAAUCAUUAUUGGUGAAUUAUGAAUGAUUAUAUUAAUCAUGCCUGCCAAGUUUAAGUAUAUGAAAUUGAGAAUUCUUGAAUAGAAUGUACCACUUAAUUUUAGUAAAUAUUUGUCUUCCUUUAAAUAAUUGUUAAGAAUAUAAAGAUUUAUAUGCCAUAUAUGACAAUUUAUCUGUUUAAAGAUCACUUUAAAACCAUGUGAAAGAUUAAUAUAAAUGUAAUUUAGAGCUUUAAGUUUCCCUAUUGAAUAUGUAUACUGAAGUAUCUAUAUCAAUAAUUUUCUGUGAUUCCUUGCAUAUUUUUAAACUUUGUUAUUAAAUCAGCAAUUUAUUUUAAACCUAUUCCUAAACUUUUUUGUGAUUUAAUGGAGAGUGUGUGAGUUGGUCGAGUGAGGAGUGAGUGAGUGCAUGUGUAACGAUCUAAACCGUCGUUACAGUGCGCAACGAGCCGAAGACGCUCG